rnacentral:lncRNA from 1 species
UCCUCGGACCACGCACACACUAGCGUGAUAUUAUACAUAUACCAUCCCUUCCAACGUGUUAUUUCAUUCACAAAGCCUCUCUUCAAGUGUUCGGUUGUGUGAUCAGUUUUUCCAGUUGUGGUCGUAUUGUCAACUAUUUAACAUGUAAGUAACUUUAUACAUUUACCUAUCUUAACUUAUCUUUUAUAGCACUCAUCAUAAUUCCCUGCGACAUGACACAGAUGAUAAUGCGUUCGAACUGUUUUCUGGCCUGAAAUCAUUCUUAAUUUUAUCAUGCUGAAAUCCAAAUUUACUCAUUACAUAAUUAACAUAAAACAUAAUUCUACGUAGAACUUUUAGUUUAUUAAAUUUCGGCAUCUUUUUUAUUUGUUUUUAGAUUGUAUUGUAAGUGUUGCAUUUUUUCCCGAAGUCAUUCUUCAUACAGUAUAGCUGGUUAUUUUCGCGGGAUGUACAUUUUCACUUAUUUUCGCGGAUAGAACAAAAUUGCAAAAAUAAAUUACACCAAUUUAAAAGUCACCAUGCAAAGGUAUUGAUAAAAGUUUUGAAUUCGCCAAAACAAUAACAGCCAAAAUAUUUCGUAUAUUACCUUAUUCAAUGAAAAUCGCGAAAUUUUACACCCGCGAAAAUAACCCGCUAUACGGUAUUAUAUUUACCUUUUCAUUUGAACAGUUGAACCAAAUUUCUUUCUUAACUAAGUUCGUGUGUCAGUUUUUGAUCCGUUGAUGAUAGUCGAUAACUCAUUUAUUGACGUCUCUUUUACGAUCUACAUUCAAGACAGCACCUUUGCAAAUACUUUCGUUAUCAUUUGUUGUGAGGAGUUAACCAGUAGAAUGCAUACUAACUUAAAAUUUUCCUCACAAGAUCCUGAACAAAAGUAUAAAUCGUCAUUUACAGUAUGUAUACGACUUCGUUUUUCUUAUAUCUUUUAUUCAAAAAUGAUUAAUUUCCUUUACUUUCAUUUUUAAAACUUUGCAAUGAAACAAUCACUUCAUCACACUUGAAUGAGCGACAUAACAGAACAAAUCACCCUUCCGGAGCAUCUAAGACUGCAUCCGGUAUUUUGUGAGGUUCGUAUUGCUCAGUCUUCAAUUUUCAAUGUUGUGUUUUGUAUACUCUUAUUUGGCUUUACGUGUUUUUUCUUUUUUUUUUUUUUUUUUUUUCCUAUAGUGUUUGAUAGUUUAAGACCCACCAUUUUUUCAUAAAAUGCCCUGUACCAAGUCAAAAAAAGGCCAUUGUUACAUUAUAGUUCGUUUCUGAGUGUGUUACAUUUUGGUGUUGUGUUGCUGUGUGUGUUACAUUUUGGUGUUGUGUUUCUGUUGUGUCGUAUAGUUCUCUUUAUAUUUGAUACGUUUCCCUCAGUUUUAGUUUGUAACCCGGAUUUGUUUUUUCUCUAUUGAUUUGUGAAUUCCGAACAGCGGUAAACUACUGUUGCCUUUAUUUAUGUUCGACUUAUGAGAUUGAAUGCCCCUUUGCUAUUUUUGGCCCCUCUAAAACGAAUGCCGUGUGUCCAAAAUGAUAUCUUGAUUUACCAUCAUCGAAAAUUUCAAUAUCAGAAAGGUACAAAGUCAUUGAAACUUUUGGUGCUUAUAAUCAAUCAAACGAAAAAUAAAAAUAAUAGCAUAAUAACUGUAUCAACUUUUAAUUGGUCAUGUCAUAGGAUUCAGUUUAUUUCUUGCAUUUAUUGCCCGAGGCAAAAAAUUCUAGAAGUAUCUUUUGCACAAAUAACCAGUUUGUCUGAAUGGCUUUUUUAUUUUUUUGUAUAAUUUAUUUUCCUUAUGUUCUAAGUUACGGACCUGCGUUUCAGCAUAUAGGUUGCAUUUCUGUAAAUAUUGACAAAGCAAUUUCCCAUAGGAACUCUUUUUACGGCUCAAACUAUAACACUUUUACUAUGAAGCUUUGAAAAAUAAUCCUAGAAUGGAAAGUCCAUAUGCACUACUGUUUCAUUAGAAUAUAACCAAUCCUCUAUGUUCGACUUUUUCAUCAUGACGGCGGAUAUAUAGAUUUGGGAAGAUGUGGUAUGAGUGCCAAUGAAACCUUUCUCCAUCCAAGUGACAGUUUGUAAAAGGUAAAACAUAUACAAGUAUCAACCCAUGUCCACUCUGUGUUUUUGUGUAUCCAUCUGAUGGUUAAGCCUUUCUCAACUGAUUUCUAUAGUUCGUUUUUUGUGUUGUACUGUUACACCACUGUCCGAGGUCAGAGAGAGGGUUGGAAACGUGCUAACAUGUUUAACCCAGUCAAAUUCUGUAUGUAUGUAUUUUUUGUACAUAAAUAAGGCCGUUUUUUCUUGUUUGAAUUGUUUUACAUUUGUCAUUUCGUGGGCAACAUAGUUGAAUAUGCGGUUAGGGCCUUGCUUAUUGUUGAAGGUCGCACGGUGACUUAUAUUUGUAAAUUUUUGUGUCAUUUGGACUCUCGACAUUUGUCAUUUCGUGGCCUUUUAUAGAUGACUAUGCGGUUUGGGCUUUGGUCAUUGUUGAAGACCGUACAGUGACUUAUAGUUGUUAAUUUUUGUGUCAUAUAGUCUCUUGUUGAGAGUUGUCUCAUUUGCAAUCAUAACACAAUUCUUUUUUAUUUGCAUAGCGGGAGACAAUUACCCUGUUGACGCAUCCGGUCUGACUGCCUUUGGAGAGCAUUCGAUCCACUCAGGGUUUUUAUAACUUAAUUCGUCUAUUCGUAAUAGAAUUACGAUAUUUAAACAAAUGUAAACUACUGUCACAUUUAUCUAGCAUAUCAUAGAACUAAUGUUUUUCUAACGCUAUUAUGCAAUUUAACAUCGUUUACCCUCGUUUCUAGAUAUAAAGAGAAGAAAGUUAGAAUCAUGAUAUUAACAGUAGCAGUUAUUGUAAUCGUCAGCUUACUAGAACACGCGUAUGCUGUACCAUGUAUUGGAUUCCAAAUAUCCAGAUGUGAUUGCACAGGAACAAAAGUCGAUUGUAGCUUCAAAGGUUUAACAGCAAUACCUGAAGGUGUACCUAUAAAUACAACAGAGUU